AACACAAAACCUUUUUUCUCCUUACCAAACAUGCAACAAUGUUUACUCUUCUUUCUUCUCCUAACUCUACUCUCAUUUGCAACAUCAACACCAUCAAGUUUCAUCAAAACCUCAUGUGCACCACACAAUACCCUACACUUUGUGUUUUUCAAUCUCUAUCUGUCUAUGCAUCACAAGUCCAACAAGAUCAACAGUUAGUCAAGCUUAUCUUAGUCUCAACAAAUCAAUCCACAAAAGGCUUUGUUACAAUGUGCAAAGCGUCAAAAAUCUUAAAACCAUCAGAAUGCUGCUCUUCAUGAUUGUGCUGAGAAAUCAAGUGAUAGUGUUGAUAGGCUUAGCCGUUCAUUGAAAGAGCUUCACUCUGCAAGAUCAACGGUCAGGAUUCAAUUGGCAUAUAAGCAAGUGGGACAUGGGUUAGCUCAGCUUUGACAGAUGAGAGCACUUGUGGGAUGGAUUUAGUGGAAAAGCACUUGAUGGAAAAAUCAAGCUUCUAUUAGAUCUAAGAAUGGUUAAUGUUGCUCAAGUUACUAGUAAAUGCUCUUUACUUACUUAUCAAUAUGCUGCUAAACACUAGUAAAGAUCAAACACUAGGAAUCAAAGGUUUGCUUUUAGGUGUGGAGAUGCCUUUAAUGUUGUUGGUUUUUUUUUGUUUUAAUUUAUGUGGUGUGUAAUGUGUAAUUAUAUCUAUAUUUAUAUAAUAUAAAGAGAGACAUAACUUUGUCAAGUGUGAAAUAAAUUUUCUAUUGAUUUAUUGAUUUUUUAUUUGCAAAAUUCUUUGGAUUGAUGUAUGAAAAUGUUCAAAAUUUAUCUUUCUAUCUCGGCCUCAACCCAAUAGGUGUCUGUAAGAUUUUUUUUUUGGAUUAUUUCAAAGUUUAGAACCAAAUAUACUUCUUGAUGGAUUUUGGCAAGUGAACCAAAAUUUGUCAAGUAGUAUAAUUUUAAAGAGAUUGUAUCUACAAGAAUGUUAUAAUUCACGGGACGAUAAUGAUUAUACUUGUUUAAAAAAAUGUAAUAAUUAGUAAUGAAAGGGUACAUAUUAUUGGAAUUCCUUAAUAAUUCAAAUGCUUCAUAGAAGCUUUAAAAAGCACUGCAUGAAAAUAGUUAUUGAUAUGGUUUUGGAAAAAAGCUGUUUUUUUAAUUCUUUUUUUCUGUUAAUUCUUGGCCUGUUUGUGGUAUCCAUUUUGUACCCUAUAAAUAGACAUUGUAGUAUAGUUGAGGUAUAAGCCAUAUAUUCAAUUCUCUCAAUCUUUCUCUAUUUCUCUAUCUCUCUUAUCUCACAUUAUCAUUUUCAUUGCUUCCCAAACACAACUGUCUAUGUCACCACUGCUUUUGGUUUUCGCAACAUUUGGUAUCAGAAGCUUGUUUUGAAUCCAAUUCCGUCUGCAAUCAUGUCCGGUCAAACGAUAAAAUACACUACCAAAUCGUGCCUCCUCGUGACUCGAAAAACUGACGACAAUGGCGAGACAAAUGAAGGGGUUUGUUCGCUAUCAACGUUCUUGGGAUGCAAAGAUGUGUGGGGUGACGGGUGGUUCGUCGAAGAGAGCAUCCGGAUGCUCAAAAGGCUACAUGAUAAAAGAGAAAAGAAGAAGGAUUUACAAACGUGUGUUUUGAUCCAUUCUUGUGUCGAUGCGUGAAAACUUUGAAAAAGUAGGCCAUUGCCGAUUCGCCAGCAAGCGAGGGAUUUGAGAAGGCUUAUGCAGGGGUACCAAGCCAAAUGUGUGAGGUUACUAAACUCACAGCGGACAGUCGAGUUAAUGCAAAAUCGGAGGACAAGGAGUCGAUAAAACGAUUAUGCUGACGCGUAUACGCGUGUAUGUGAAUCAAAUAAGUCGUGCGGGAGAAAACUACGGUUAGAGCGGAAUGUUUUGUGUCGAAGAUCUUGCCUUCUUUAACGCCAAGAUUCACGAACAUUGUCGUUCGCGCUUGAAGAAAUCGAGAGAUUUAUCUGCAUUGAUCGAAGGGAGGAGCUCAAAGCUCACUAGAAGCUCUAUGAAGCAAUGGAUAGAGGAAACGAUAAGCGAAGUCGGAAGUAGCUUGCUGCAAGCAGCGACUCAUGAAAGAGUAAGACGAUCAAAGGAAAAGGGCAUCGAGAGGGGUCCAAUUUCCAAAUUUGUGUGGUAAGAGUCACAAAAUUCCAAAGGCAAACGGUGAGGAAGCUCCAAGAGGGUGAUAAGGAACCCACAAAGCCAUUGACGAAGUACGUGAAGUGUGUACAAUCUGUCAAAGCUUGAAGGAUUUCGCAAAGUUUUGCCGCGACGAAGAGAAAUCGAAUGGGCUGAGGCGGAAAGCUUUGCUAAGGAAGAAGCGAAUAUGAUAUACGCUUUGUGAUGAAUCAGGAGAGAAAUCUCGAUGCCCAUGACGACAAAGCGGGGCCGGACGCGCGUUCCGGCGGCAGUGUGCAGACGAAUUCUGGCAGUAAGACGCGAGUUCAGGACGGAAACGCCAAUGGUAGCGUCUCGAGGAUGCAAUUCAAGAGUAGAACGAGUGGUAGUUGCGAUUCUGAGGUCUGGGAGCUCACUCAUACGGAGAAGAUUGUUUGUCCAAAUUCCAAUCGAGCAGCAAGAUUAAAGUGAGAUUGCGAUGAUACGGAUGUUAUCCCGAUGGCCGGGUUGGAAUGUCUGUGAUGCCGCUGAAAGAAGCUGAUGCGGUUCAAUUGAUCUAAGGAUGGUCUGUGACGAUUCGGAGGAUCGAAUGUAAUCUCUUGGCAGUGGCAACUGUUGGUACCCAGAGGCCAAUUUUGGUAUUGUAGUGAAUUAUUUUAUAUAGAAUGAGGCUUUAUUUUUAUUAACGUCCUUGUUUAGAUAGAUCCCCCGCGAGCUGUCGCGGCGCCGCGCCGCCGGCUAGCGAUUCAUAUAGGCUAGUCGUGCGCGGCCGCUUUAAUGCUAGUCAGUACAUUAAUCAUGAGAUGAGCAUAACCAUUAAGGACGACUAUUCUUAACGGUAGUCACGUAGAUCGAGCUGUCGGACUUAUUGUGCAAGUCCGGGCGGGGGAUGCCAUUAAACCAUUAAGACCUACAUAGCGUGGUAUAUAGCCUGGAUGAUGCACAUCUCAGUGGAUAUGGAUAGCGGAUGGAGUUAUCAAGUCUUAAAUAGGUGAUCUUAAGAUAUAUUCUAUAGCCGUAUGACGGGCGCUACUGGAUCUGAUAUAUAAGUUAUGCAGGUGUUCCGUAUCUAUCUUCCUCAUGGUAUACUGGUCGUUAUCAAUCUUCGACCGUGAACCCAGUCUUGGACCCUCGAUGUUCGGUGCUUAUAUUGUGAUUCCAACUGUUGUCGAAUGCUCAUAACCAUAAAGACAUGGCAUGGGUCUCCGGGUCGGCAAUGUUGACGGGCGCAUGAGUGGACCUAGAUGGAUCUUUGCCAUCCUACUACAAGGAUAAUGUUAUGGCCAAUGAUUGAAUGGAAGGAUAGCCGGCUCUAUGCUUUCUUCAAUCUGUACUAGAAUUCAAUCGGCAAAGCGAUACUAAUAAUGAUAACAGACAGAGACUUGUCAGAGUCUGAUUUUCGGUGUCGUUGGGUCGCGUUCAUGUGACUGUGCUGUACGGAUACGCUCACUUUAAUUAUGCUCGAUACGAUGAUUUCACCUGAUAUUUACGCAUGCGCGAUAACGCUAGCAGGUCACAAAAGGCGGGGGUUAUGGGAGAUGACGGAUAAUAGAGAACACGUAAGGUAGGGUGCCCUUAGUGAAUUGUGGUGAAUCGUCGUCUNGUCGACUUAUUUAACAUUAUAAAUGUAUAUGGAUAUGUAGGUCAACCUAUUUAACAUUUUUUAAAUAUAUAUAUAUAUAUAUAUAUAUAUAUAUAUCAUCCUAUUUAGACUAUUUUUAAUAUAUAUAAAAAUAUAGACGGGUUUAUAAGAUUUCAUAGACUUUUUUAAUAGCCUAAGCCUGACCUACUUAAUUAAAUAAUAUUUUUUAAUAGUCUAAUCCUGACCUAUUUAAUUAAAUAGGUUUUUACAAAAACCUAAGUCUGAAUUUUUUAUUAAAUAGGUUUAGGGUUUAGUCCUUUAUAGACUAAUCUGACCUAUUAUUAUCCCUAAUUACAAUCAACCAAAAUUUAGUGUAACCAAAUAAAUUAGAACCUACUCUAUUAUAAUGUGAAGAAACACAAUCAAGCGUAAGAGGAAAACGAUAUUUUAACGUUUGAUAGUUUAAAAAAAAAGUUUUGUUCCAAAUUACAUGUUACAUUUGAGUAUUUUACACGUAUUAAGAAAGUGUGAUAAAUAAAAGAGAGAAUAUCAAUUUUAUCAUUGGUGCAUUCUAAUGAUCAUAAAUGCCAAGUGAGAAUAACCGGAGAGUGAUAUAGAUAGUAUUAAUUGAAGGGUAACAUUGGAAGCAAAAAUUAAAUUUGUAUUGGAAACUAAAAGCAAACAUUUAUUUUGAAACAAAUAAUUUAUUAAAAUGCGAUAUUUAUUUUGGGACGGAGAGAGUAUCAUUUCUUAUGUAAAGAGAACUCGAUACCCUGGACUCUUUCUGAUUUUAAUUAUAUUGGAUUGUUGAUGGAGAGUAUGGGUUUUUGAGAUGAUAUAUCCUGGUUUUGGGGUGUUAGAUAGAGGAGAGAGCUUUUUGUUUUUGAGCGUGACCUAGUCGGUAACCCUGUCGCAACGAGCUAGAGUACAAACAUCUUCCAUGACGAUGACACGUAGUCAUGUAAUCCGGAUGAAAAUGAGGUGUAUUUGGUUAAAUAAACUUUUUAGCUUUGUUAAAUACUAGACUUCUCGUUGAUGAGUCUAAUAAUGAAGUUGAUUCUAUUAUGCCUCUUGUUGGAAGAAGUUGAUCCAUUCUAAAGUUAUUGUCUUCUCCUAAAAGCUUCUCCAAGAUCGAAUUCUGGCGAGGGAUAAUCUAUGUGGCUGUUGAAUUAUAAUAGGCUCUGGUGAAUUAAUGUGCACUUUUUGUCAAGGCUCUACAUAAUUUGUUAAUCAUAUUUUCAUUACUCAUCAGGUGACAUCUAACUUGUAAUAUAAUAUUUUUAGGUGUUUUGGGUGGACUUUUGUGUACCUAGAGAAAUAGUUUGUUAUUCGAGACUGUCAUAUCUUUAGAGAAGAAGUCUAGUGGUAGAGUUUGACCUACCUUAAUUUGACACUAUCAUGUGAACCUUAUGAAAAUUCCAAAAUGAACAUUUUUUUUCAAAUAAGACAUCAACAAUGGAGGAAUUGGAGAAUCAAAUUCUCUUCGCCUCUUAGAAUUGGUUUCUUACUAGAACUUCGAUUUAUUCUCGCAUGUUCUUUAAUUGGAUGGUGGAUCAUAUCUUCAGAAUCGAUAGAUGUUGAAGGAACCACUUUUCCAGCCUCAAGAGUAGUUUAUUGUUCAAAUGGUGAUUAUGGCCUUUGGUAUAUUUCCAAAACUUUUAUAACUAAAGGUCUUUGUAGUCUUUAUUAUAUAUGUAUACUUAGGAAUCGUUAACAUCAUCAUCAGUGUCAGAUUUAACUUACUUAAAUCUCUCAAUAACUCUUCGUAAAUGAUUAAUUAAAUUAAUCAAUCUUAUUAUUGAAUUAAUAGAUACUAUCAGAUAGAUUAAGUCUAUAAAAUUUUAUAAAAUUUAAAAAAAUCAUUUGAUAUUCAAUCACGUCAAUUAUAUUAUUUUAACAUAUAAUAAAUAUCAACUAUUAAAAUAUAUAAUAAUGGAUGUUUAAAUUGUUUGAUACUUUUAUACAUGAUCAUCAUAUAUAAUUUAAUGUUAAGAUUGAUUUAAUUCUUAAUUUAGAAAGAAUUAUAGAAAGUGUAUAUGUUAAGUUUGACCCAUGGUGUCAAUAGUGUAUUGAUUUUAUAUAUAUAUUGUUGGCUUGUCAAAUUCAAGUUUCUCCAUUUAUAUAAUUUACCCUUUAAUUUAUUUUACACGCUUUAUUUUAGAUUCUCUCUUAUUUUAUCUAAAUAGUGGACCCCACCAUGCAGAGUUAGGCACAUGAUAAUGAUAUAGUUGGGAACUAUUGACUCACAAGCCCAAACCCCAUCUAUAUCUCUAUAUAAUAUCUACAUUCUUAUUCUCACAAAUCACAACCAAACCUCAAAACAAAACCUCUUUUUUCUCUCUACCAAACAUGGCAACAAUGUUUACUCUUCUUUUCCUUCUCCUAACUCUACUCUCAUUUGCAACAUCAACACCAUCAAGUUUCAUCAAAACCUCAUGUAGCACCACACAAUACCCUACACUUUGUGUUCAAUCUCUAUCUGUCUAUGCAUCCACAAUCCAACAAGAUCCACACCAGUUAGUCCAAACAGCUUUAUCCCUUAGUCUCAACAAAACUCAAUCCACAAAAGGCUUUGUUACAAUGUGCAAAAGCUUCAAAAAUCUUAAACCAUCAGAAUAUGCUGCUCUUCAUGAUUGUGCUGAAGAAAUCAGUGAUAGUGUUGAUAGGCUUAGCCGUUCAUUGAAAGAGCUUAAACUCUGCAAGAUCAACGGUCAAAAAGCUUCAAAAAUCUUAAACCAUCAGAAUAUGCUGCUCUUCAUGAUUGUGCUGAAGAAAUCAGUGAUAGUGUUGAUAGGCUUAGCCGUUCAUUGAAAGAGCUUAAACUCUGCAAGAUCAACGGUCAGGAUUUCAAUUGGCAUAUAAGCAAUGUGGAGACAUGGGUUAGCUCAGCUUUGACAGAUGAGAGCACUUGUG
rnacentral:lncRNA from 1 species